UACAAAUUGAGAGGGUGUCUAU
rnacentral:siRNA from 1 species